CUCCUCCUGUCUCCUUAAUCGACAAAUUUGUGAUGGGCAUUAAAGAUUAUGUGGCCUCUGUAUCUGGUUGCACCUCCCCGGCAGCAAUUUUGAUGUUUGGAGGUCAACAUUCUGACAUGAAACCUGUUCUUGAUAAAAUGGACUAUGCCUUCUCUGAACAAACUGUCAUUGCGGGUAAUGAGUGUGGUUCCUUCUUAUAUAGC